ACUCCUACGGGAGGCAGCAGUAGGGAAUCUUCCGCAAUGGGCAGAAAGCCUGACGGAGCAACGCCGCGUGAGUGAUGAAGGUCUUCAGGAUCGUAAAACUCUGUUAUUAGGGAAGAACAAACGUGUAAGUAACUGUGCACGUCUUGACGGUACCUAAUCAGAAAGCACGGCUAACUACGUGCCAGCAGCCGCGGUAAUACGUAGGUGGCAAGCGUUAUCCGGAAUUAUUGGGCGUAAAAGCGCGCGUAGGCGGUUUUUAAGAUCUG
rnacentral:rRNA from 1 species